rnacentral:rRNA from 1 species
UACAUGGGGUGCAAACGUUGCUCGGAAUUAUUGGGCGUAAAGCGCACGUAGGCGGUUCGUUAAGUCGGAUGUGAAAGCCCUCGGCUCAACUGAGGAAGUGCACCCGAAACUGGCGAGCUUGAGUACGAAAGAGGAUCGCGGAAUUCCCGGUGUAGAGGUGAAAUUCGUAGAUAGUCGGGAGGAACACCGGGUGGCGAAGGCGGCGAUCUGGGUCGAUACUGACGCUGAGGUGCGAAAGCGUGGGGAGCAAACAGG